UUCGGUGCCGGCCGUCACAGGUAGGGUGAUUUCUCCCUCUGUCGUGACAGCAUCUCCGGCAAAGCCGAUCAAGGGCAUGGAGACCCUCUUAAGUCGGUCGGUUGACAGUUGCAUCCGGGAGAAGGUCGAGUAAAACAAAACAUUCGUCGAACUUCCAUUAUCAACAAAAAUUCUUUUUACAUCAUAAUUCGCUAUUGUUGCCGAAACAACAACAGCAUCGUCGUGGG
rnacentral:lncRNA from 1 species